rnacentral:rRNA from 1 species
CGAAAGCCUGACGGAGCAAUACCGCGUGAGGGAAGAAGGCUUUUGGGUUGUAAACCUCUUUUGUCAGGGAAGAAGAAUUGACGGUACCUGAAGAAAAAGCAUCGGCUAACUCCGUGCCAGCAGCCGCGGUAAUACGGAGGAUGCAAGCGUUAUCCGGAAUCAUUGGGCGUAAAGGGUCCGCAGGUGGCGAAUAAAGUCUGCUGUUAAAGACCGGGGCUUAACUCCGGAAAGGCAGUGGAAACUGAUUAGCUAGAGUAAGGUAGGGGUAGAGGGAAUUCCCAGUGUAGCGGUGAAAUGCGUAGAUAUUGGGAAGAACACCGGUGGCGAAAGCGCUCUACUAGGCCGAAACUGACACUGAGGGACGAAAGCUAGGGUAGCGAAAGGGAUUAGAUACCCCUGUAGUCUUAGCGGUAAACGAUGGAUACUAGGUGUAGCUUGUAUCGACCCGAGCUGUGCCGAAGCUAACGCGAUAAGUAUCCCGCCUGGGGAGUACGCACGCAAGUGUGAAACUCAAAGGAAUUGACGGGGGCCCGCACAAGCGGUGGAGUAUGUGGUUUAAUUCGAUGCAACGCGAAGAACCUUACCAGGGCUUGACAUGUCGCGAAUCUAGCGGAAACGUUAGAGUGCCUUAGGGAAUGCGAACACAGGUGGUGCAUGGCUGUCGUCAGCUCGUGUCGUGAGAUGUUGGGUUAAGUCCCGCAACGAGCGCAACCCUCGUCCUUAGUUGCCAAUAUUAAGUUAGGCACUCUAGGGAGACUGCCGGGGACAACUCGGAGGAAGGUGGGGAUGACGUCAAGUCAGCAUGCCCCUUACGUCCUGGGCUACACACGUACUACAAUGGUUGGGACAAAGGGCAGCAAGCUCGCGAGAGUAAGCGAAUCUCAUCAAACCCAGCCACAGUUCAGAUUGCAGGCUGCAACUCGCCUGCAUGAAGUAGGAAUCGCUAGUAAUCGCAGGUCAGCAUACUGCGGUGAAUUCGUUCCCGGGCCUUGUACACACCGCCCGUCACACCAUGGAAGCUGGCUGCGCCCGAAGUCGUUACCCUAACCCGGUUUUGGGAGGGGGAUGCCGAAGGUAGAGCUAGCGACUGGGGUGAAGUCGUAACAAGGUAGCCGUACCGGAAGGUGUGGCUGGAUCACCUCCUUU